UUAUGACCUGAUGGCUCAUUUGAGGGUAAUACAUUUAUCAUAUAUGCCUUUGAAACAAUUUUCAGGUGUUAAAUAAUUUGGUUUCUCCUAGAAUAUAUAGAUAUUUCUGGCAACUGUUUUUAGCAUAGUGUCACUGAUAAUCUAUCUAAUUUUUUUAUGUUUCAGAUAAAUAGUUUCAGUACAAGCUUUAAAUUCCCGAAAAUAAUGACAUUUUAAGAAUGAAAUUUUAAGAAAGGAGAAUCUUUUUAAUUGUGAAGUAUUAAUACGGUUUUAUUCAAUUAUGAAAGUAUUACUUUUAAUGAUGUGUGUUAAAUUAUGCCUAAAAAUGAUCAAAUGUGUUAAUCUUCUUGAUGAUAAAUAUUGUGGAAAUUAAUAGAACUGAUCAAAUAUUAACAAAGAAUGUGAGCAUGUUUCCAAAAGAGUAUAAAAGCGAUUUAUGUGACCAAUAUAGUUAUAUUUAUUUGUAAAUACAAAGUAAUUUAAAGUAAUUAAUUGUUAUUAGAUUAAAUUAUUUAUUGAUUGUUUAAAGUGAAGAUAGAUUUAUUAUAGUAAUUAUUUAUUGUAGAUUUCUGUAAAACAGGAGUAUUUAUAGUACCGGUAUAUCAUUCUUCCGUCGUAGUAUUGUGAUUAUGUCUUUAGUAUGACAAAAGUGCUUUCGUGUGUUGAUACCAUAUACCUCUCCAUUAUACAUAUACAUAUACAGUCAUCUGCCUUAAUUCCUCAUGUAAUAUAUUUUGAUUUGUAAAUCAUUAAAUUUUAAUUUUGAGAACAUACUUAACAACCACAGUAGUUUUAUUUUCCUUUAAAAUUCAAGUUAUCAUUAUGAUAAUUAAACAUACAAACUUACAAUAAAAUGAGUAGCUUUACCUGUGUCCAUUUUAAUAUUUGGACAAUAAACUGUCCCAUUGAAAGAAUAUGAAACAGACCUUUUGUUUUUUCAAGUAAAUCCAUCAUUUUAUGUGUUCUUCUUGCCAUAUCUGUUCUUUUUAUUCUAUUUAAUGACUGUUUUGUUUUAAAUUAUUCCAUGAAAAAAACCCACAUAUUUGGACGGAGAUGGUACGUAUGCAUGUCCCUCUUCUUUAAAUGUUAUAAUAAUUUUUUAUGUAAUACACCUUUUAUUCAUCAUCAAUUGCUGUUUUUUCAAUAAAAGAUGUUACAUUAAUUAACAAACAAAGGCAAAUUUACUACUUAAAGGUUUUAGGAAUUAGUUUAAGCAUGACAUUUCAUCGUUUACAGAACAGACUUAUGAUCAAAGUGUUUUAUGUCAAAUAUUUGUAUGUGACUUGUAAUACUUUCUACACUCAUUUAUAUGUAUGUGACCUUAUACACAUGGUUAUUUUUACAUGUAGUUUUUUUUUGUUUUCAUCAAUUACGUAUUAUAUUAUAUUUCAUUAUCAAUUAUCAUUUCACAAUCAUUAUUGCCAUUGUUGCCAUGGUGAUCAUAUGAAAUCACGUGAAAUCAAGUACAUAUUCAUCAUUGAUUUUAAAUUUUUUUGUUCUAUUGCUAUGGAGAUCUUAUUAAGUUAGUGUUCAUUUACCAGAAAUCCGUCCCUGGUUUGUCUUAUAGUUUUUUGUUAUCUUGCACUAUUUUUAUUUGAUUGAAUUCUAAUUUUUUGUCUUUUUAUAUAUGUCAGAAUUCCAUCCAUUUUUGUGUCAUUACAGAAUUCCAUCCAUUUAUGUGUCAUGUCAGAAUUCCAUCCAUUUAUGUGUCAUGUCAGAAUUCCAUCCAUUUUUUGUGUCAUAAUAGAAAUCCAUCAGUGUUUUUUUUUUAUGUCAUAUUAUAUAUCUGCAUGAAUAUUUUUUUUUCUAUUUUUUUGUUCACCUGCUCACCUGACUUAAUCUUUGACUUCUGUAUAAGUUAGGAAAACAUUCCCUGUGUUACAGUCAGCUCAUCGUAUGAUAUAAUUUAUUAUUGAAUAGAGAACAUAAUAUGUCAGAAUCGUGAGAGACAAAAUGAUAUGUCAGAAUCAGGAAAGAUGACAUUACAUGUCAAUCAUAAGAGAUGACAUAAUAUGUCAUAAUCAUGAGUGACGACAUAUUAUGCCAUAAUCUUGAUAGGCAACAUAAUGAUAAAAUACUUAUAUGCCUAAUGAGAUCAUUAAGUCAGUAUUUCAGAAAUUGUUUGUACUGUUUCAAGUUUGACAAUUGAUAAUAAAGAAUACACACAAAUUUGAGCUUUCUUAUGUUUUUUUGUCCUUAAAGAGGAAUAGAAUACAGGGAUAUUUUCAGCCUAUAGCUAGAAUAAUGGUCUGUUUGGUGUUUGUAGAAUAGAGAAUAAUGACCAAAAAAGAAAGAAAAGAGAAAAAUGAAAGUUUAUAGAUAUGAAGACUCUACCUAGACCCUCCUACAACAUACAAGCUUGAAAUUUAUUAGUUUAUAGAAUAUAAGGAAGCUUCCCAAAGACAUGCUUAAUGAUUGAUGUGUAAAAACUAAAUUGUAGAAUUGUGUUCAUUAAAUACCAUUGCCUGUACCAGAAACUUGAUGUAGGUCACUAUUGAACAAAAAUUAAGUUUUUCAGAUACAAGCUGC
rnacentral:lncRNA from 1 species